AGCCACCGUUUAUUAGAUCUUAGUUAUCUACUUGGAUAACUGUGGCAAUUCUAGAGCUAAUACAUGCACGAAAGCUCGGACCUUAGGGAAAGAGCGCAUUUAUUAGACCAAAACCAAUCGAGCUUCGGCUUGUGUUUUGGUGACUCUGAAUAACUAAGUUGAUUGCACAGUCUUAGUACUGGCGACGUAUCUUUCAAAUGUCUGCCUUAUCAACUUUCGAUGGUAGGUUAUACGCCUACCAUGGUUAUAACGGGUAACGGAGAAUAAGGGUUCGACUCCGGAGAGGGAGCCUGAGAAAUGGCUACCACAUCCAAGGAAGGCAGCAGGCGCGCAAAUUACCCAAUCCCAGAACGGGGAGGUAGUGACGAAAAAUAACGAGACAGUCCACUAUGUGGCCUGUCAUCGGAAUGGGUACGAUUUAAAAACUCUAACGAGUAUCUAUUAGAGGGCAAGUCUGGUGCCAGCAGCCGCGGUAAUUCCAGCUCUAAUAGCGUAUAUUAAAGUUGUUGUGGUUAAAACGCCCGUAGUUGGAUCUUCGGUCUUGAAGCUCGGUAGCUCGUAAGGGUUUAACUGAGUCUUCUGGCCUAAAUUUUAGUAUUCCGCUGAUGCUCUUUACUGAGUGUCUUUGGUUGCUAGAACGUUUACUUUGAAAAAAUUAGAGUGCUAAAAGCAGGCUUUACGCUUGAAUAAAGUGCAUGGAAUAAUGGAAUAGGACUUUAGUUUUAUUUUGUUGGUUUUCGAAAUUAAAGUAAUGAUUAAGAGGAACAGACGGGGGCAUUCGUAUUGUUGCGUUAGAGGUGAAAUUCUUGGAUCGCAGCAAGACGAACAACUGCGAAAGCAU
rnacentral:rRNA from 1 species